UUGUAGCUACAUGAAAUCAGCUAAGUCAGUAGGAGAUGUUUGGUGAUACUUGUCCCUUUUUGCUGACACUUCUGGUAGGAUCUGUUGCAGGUAAUAUCUGCAGCAAUUUCUAAAGCUCUCUUUUAUCUAACUGAACAUUUAUCCUCAAGUUUCUCAGCAUACCUGUCUUUGCUGCUAAUGCCAUCUCACUUGUUGAAACAAGCUUAGUGAUCAAAAUUAAUGAACCAUCUUGGUAGGGAUUGGAAGCUAGAAACAGACUGAAGAACGAGGAAGACCUUUUCUAUGCCCAGGAAAUGUCUUGGCAGAACAGGUUCAUGGAGAGGGAGUUUGGGACAAAAGUUGUGAUGGUUUUCAUCCAUUAUAUAAAUCUUAAGUGAACUGUCACCCUAUUUCCUUUGCUCGUGGUCACUUUGUGGACACCCUCUCCUUUUGCUAGAGCAAAGCAGCUUUGUCUUUCUGCUUGUGUAGAUGCUCCUAGACUGUGGCCUCUACAAACAUGCUACAAAUUUGUCCUGCUUUAGCUGGUUCUAAUUGCUGGUGAUUUAUGAGAGAGAUGUUGUGAAACAACAUAAAACUAAUUUUUCUUCUCCAUUAAUUCAGAUGUUCUAAGCAUUUGGGUUUACUCCUGUGAUUUCCCCUCCCUCACAAUUUACUUUGAAAUCCAAAGCUCUACUGUGUUGUCUUAUUGUAGCCUUCAGUGUUUCCUUCUCCCUUCUCAUCUAAUUGAAAAAUUGUUUAGAUUUAGAAAGUAGGGAAAAAGAUGCACUAAAUGAAAACUGUGUAACAAAGGUAGGUGAACAAAAAAUCAGCAGCCUUUAACAGAUAAAAGGAGAGAAAACCCACUACGCUCUCUGAUAAUUUGAAGUAGCUGCAACACUAAAACCAGUCCUGCAAAACACUCACGUGAAUAAUCCUUACUGUGGCAAGUAGUCCAAUUGUUCCCAGCACUGGUGAAAGGCAGUGGUCUGGCAGCUUUGAGGAAUGAAGUUCUUUUUUUUUAUUAGCUGGGCAAGUUUCCCAACACACAUUGCCUGGUCAGCCUGCUAAAACCUUGAUCUGAAGAGGGAGGGAUAAGCUUUCUCUCAGGCUAACAGGCAGUUUGGUUUCCACAGAUCACAUAAUUCUUACUUGUGUUUGGAGGCUGCCAAUUAGCAAAAAGUAAAGGGGAGAGACUCUGCAGGAAAUUGCAGCUCUAAUCCAGCUGACUUGCAUUAGAGAAGGACCACCUUGCUGCCCUCUGCAGAUUCUGGAGAGACCAUGCCCAAAGCCUGUGCCCCUUGCCUGUGUGAGUGUGUGUUCCAGGGAUGCUCAGAGUCUCCACAUUAGUCCUGGGAAGCAACUGGUGCUCCUGCUUCCCUCAUCCACUUUGACUCACUCUCCUUCGCAGGCUGCUCUCUAGGAGCAGCUUCCGUCCAGCUGGAGACCCUUCUACUUGAUGCUGACACAGGGGAUUGGAACUUCAGGACUUCCAAAUUGACUGACCCAAGAUUCUACCCUUCCACCAAAAGAACUAUCAGCAAGAUGUAAUCCAUUUGUGGACAGGCUCCAGGGGCAAGUAGACUCAUGGUACGUUUUACAGCUGUUUGAACAGACAUCAUUUGUGGGAAAGCAGUGCAGCACUGGCGAUUAUACUGCAGAAUGUGAAAUUGCCCAGGGUUUAUCUGUAAGUUUCAUCAGGUACCAGCACCAGCAGUGUUGAAAGCUGUAGCAGCAGUCCUGGUUGGCAGAAGGUGGCAUAUCAGCUGCUUGCACAUGAUCCAGUGCCAUUUGGAAAAAGCUUGAACCGCUUUCAGUAAAAAUAUCAUGAUUUGGUCUACUCAGGAUAUGCUUCUAGUCAGAGCAGUCAAAGCAGGCAGCUUUAGCACCUUCUGUACAGGAGGCAGUAGGGCUGCAUGAAACAUGGCCUUUGUUCUACAGGAGCGAUGUGUUCUCCAGGGUGUGUUUGUGGCAGCUGUUACUGGAUUUUAACAUCAGGUAGUGGACAAGGAAUUGACCAUUACUGAGACUGUGAACUGCACAAGGGUGCUUGCAGAAGUCAGACCCGAUCUGGAGGUUUCCUGGCACCUUGCUAGUUACCUUUUACUCUAUGUCAAAGCGCACUUCAUUGAAAGAGAGGUA